CCUAUGACAUAUCCACGAGUUAACACGAAGGGGGGCACAGACGGUCCCAACCUCAUUCAUGAUUCACGCAUACAAGCAGCAGGUUGGUUGGAGUUGAGUUAUAAUAGAUAUUUAACAUCACCUGAAAUCUCUGAUUCUCUAAAAAGUUUCUUCCGGCCGGAAAUCGGCGCCGUCCAAUUGACAGAAAAUAUAAUAUGAUAUGAUAUCUAGGGCAUGCCCCAUGGGGGGGGGGGUGUCCGAAGCAACCGCCAAAUUCAGCUAAUCCCUGUCGGUGUUGAUUUGAGAACAAUUUUUGCUUUUACGAGAAAAACAGGAGGAAAGGUGUUUAGAAGUAGCGGCCAGCAGCAGUCCCCACUCCCUCUUUGGGUGGCUGCUGGCUGAUGGUGAAAAGGAGCCAUUAGCGCAAUCGCUGCUGGAUCACUGUCAUAAUCAUAACUGCCUGCUGCUGCCUUUUGUUGAAUGUUGUCCGCCAGCCCUCUGCUUUCAUACCAGUAACGGCUCCACGGUUUCUGGAAAUCUUCUUAGCUUUUUUACAGAUACAUAUGACCCCUACCAAAUAAUUAAUAUACCUUUGUCUCUCCAAAAGAAGAAGAAUUAGAAAAGAUGUUACAAAAUUCCUACCGUUGGUUGUGUUUUGUGUCCUAGGAAUAGGAUACUUCAAAAUUUUCACACCGGGGAUUAAGUUAACGCUUUUUUACAGAGGCCACACAAGCACCAGAAUUUUUACAGGAGCAAGCAAUGAAAUCCAAGGGGACCGCUAAUCCCGCAGCUCGUGACUUCUGGAACCCUGCAAGCUGGAUGACUCCGUAGACGUGUAAGAUGCCUCGAAUUUGUUGAAUGCAUUUCGAAGCAAGCUGCUCGUGCUGCUGUAAGACCCCGUAGAACUGGGAGCCAGCACGCUGGAGUUUAUAA
rnacentral:lncRNA from 1 species